rnacentral:SRP_RNA from 1 species
GUUGGGCAUGGUGGCGUAUGCCUGUAAUCCCAGCUACUUGAGAGGCUGAGGCAGGAUAAUCGCUUGAACCAGGGAAUUGGAGGUUGCAGUGAGCCAAGAUUGUGCCACUGAACUCCAGCCUGGCAACAGAGCGAGACUCUGUCUCAA